rnacentral:rRNA from 1 species
CACGAACUGUGCAAACGUUAUUCGGAAUUACUGGGCUUAAAGAGUUCGUAGGCGGCUUGUUAAGUCGGGUGUGAAAUCCCUCGUCUCAACCGAGGAAUUGCGUUCGAAACUGGCAGGCUUGAGUGAGAUAGAGGUGAGCGGAACUGAUGGUGGAGCGGUGAAAUGCGUUGAUAUCAUCAGGAACACCGGUUGCGAAGGCGGCUCACUGGGUCUUUACUGACGCUGAGGAACGAAAGCUAGGGGAGCGAACGGG